rnacentral:rRNA from 1 species
AUGUACAUGCUCGUGCUUGACCUUCAGAACUACUUUAUAAACCAGGUGAUUCUUUUUCUGAGAUUUCCUCGGCCAUCGCCUCAGUUCUCCAACUACCGGAUUACGCUUCACUACACAGCAAACAGAGAGCGAAGUUGUACCAAAAGGUCUGAACAAGAGAAUGAGAGACUGCAUAAACAACGUGGAACCUUACUGAUAGCCCUAGUUUCAGCGAUCAAAAUUUCCUUUGUGAUCAACGAGGCUAUCCAGGCACCAAAGGCAGCAGAACUAUGCUGUCAGACAACAUGGGCACACGCCAGACUUCCUUACUAUAGACUAUCAACAAGAACAGAAGGUCACAUCAUUACUGAGGAUCUACCAAAGGAUACACUGAAGGGUAUUAUAGAUGCAUUUGCAAGGAUAGCAAAUAUGAUUGACAUUCUCCAUAGAUGUGGCUCAAAAGCGGCGCAAGAUAUUAUUGUCAAGAGCCUGUCUCAAUUGUUGGUUUUUGGUGACACAUCUGAUUAUCACAAAAGCUAUUUGGUUCUGACCGAGUUAUGGGUGAAGAUAACACUUCAAGAUUUUGAAGAUGACCAACGUGUGGAUAGUGCUCCUCUUCUCUACCACUCUCUUAUGGCCUGCUCGUCUCCCUUGCCAAUGAAGUUAAUAGGCUUAAUCGUAGAGCAGAUCAAAGGUUUUAGUCAGGCAGGCAUGUAUACUCCGUGCGUCUGGGUGCAAAACAUAAACUGCUGUUUAGAGUCCUUGUUUGAAGCCAUAUCUUUACUGGUAAGCGCCCCCACUCCCAUCCCUACUGUCCCCUUCCUGUCUUGUUUUCUUACAUCAAACCAGCAAGGCAUCUUACCGGAUUCCUCUCGAGGGAAUGCAAUUGUGAUCCAUGAACUAGCUAUUGCAUACUGCCUGCAGUCACUAUGUGCCCACGAAGCCAAUCAUGGCGGCAAGGUAAUCCUUGAUGAUGCUAGGAGUGUUGUUAGGUUGUGGUCGAAGAUGGGUACUUUGCAUCAUUGUUCUCCUGGUGUGGUCUUUCAACAGCCAUCAGAAACCCUUGUACCACUUCUUUGUUCUCUCGUUGAUUUGCUGGCGAUGAAGGGCUGCUUUGAGCUUCAGUUUGAGCAGUGCAAGCUUAUCAUAAUGAUAUGGAAGCAAGAAAACUUACCCCUAGAAAAGUUAUUCUCCAUGUUAUUUAUCAAUGGACGCCUUAAUCAUGCAUGUUGUCAUCUCCCAAUGGACCAGAAAUUUGUUUCUUAUGUGGCACAGAAUCUUGGUGUUGAUUGCCACAGUAUGAUAUUUUGGAGAAACUGUUUCAAAGAAGAUUACCCUUCUCUUACUAUCUUGCUUCAGCGGUUGUGGCCAGUUGAUUUCUUUUCUCAAUCAUCUGGACACUCCUUUGGAAAUCAGUUAGGUUUUAAUGCUAGUGUUGAUGAGAUUCAUAAAGUUGCAUCAUCUCUGGUUUCUGAAGGUCCUUUGAGUAAUCAAUCAACCUAUUUGGCUGGCUGUAUAUACUAUGAUUUGUCAGAAAGACUUCUGUCAAGAGGACAAAUCUCCAGGCCAUUUCAUAUGGAACAGAAGCCCUCCAAUUGCGCAAGAAGCUCCUGA